UAAUUAUUAUUGGAAACAAUUUCCAGUGAAUUUAAAUCCUCAUGUCUAUGCAGUAGGGCUGCAUCGUGCUCUGGCUCAUUAAUUUAUUAAACAUCAACGGUGAUGCAGUUCUUUGAUCCUCUUAAAAAUUAACCACCUACGCCUGUAUCUUAACCAGUUCUUGAGCCAUGGAAAUAUUCCCUCUCUCCUGGACAUUUCAGCUAAUCAACAAACCCUUGCCAGCACCUUUUCCUGAGAAGUUUUCAAAUUUCAUAUGAUUUAUAUGAGAUAAAAUACUUCACUACAAUGCCCCACAGCCCCUAAAACCAGAUGGUCCAGGCAGAGUUUACUGCUGGACUUUGCUCCUCUGGAGAUGGGAGCUUCCCUCCCUGGAAGGAGCCCUUCCAAAAGCCGCCUCUGAGUUGCUAAGAAACAGCUUGUCACUGUGGCAUGGGCUGUAAUCAGUUGUGUACAGAGCGUUCAACGCUCCUGGUACGUCUGCAUCAAUUAUGCAUCGCCGGUGUGAUUUUUCUUCCUGUGGAAACUUGGCUUCCAGAGGCUCUUUGUGGUGCUCCAGCCAUGACCUAAACCCUCCUUUGCUGAAUAAUUCCUACCGAGACAACACAGUUUCCCCGCUAUGUUUUCCACGCUGCCGUGUUUCAGCAAGGCAAAUAAAUCAGGCUGUCUCCUGCCACCGGGCAGCCUUGUUUGCUCAA